GGUCCCGUAGCUCAGCAGGAUAGAGCAUCAGAUUCCUAAUCUGGGGGUCGCGCGUUCGAAUCGCGCCGGGAUCA
rfam:Sinorhizobium saheli strain LMG 7837 scaffold15, whole genome shotgun sequence.